AUACUAAUCUGGCAGGGGAGAUGGCAUGAUAUCGAAGAUGGUUUUCCCAGGGGAAGACUUACUCAAUGUGCUCCAAAUGUGCUGACCCUGCAUUUUCCACAAAUGGGGAAAACUCAGCGACACAAUUUAUGGCAGCGAGGGGCUUCGUUCACAUUCUUCCUUG
ensembl:snRNA LOC120101385 U1 spliceosomal RNA